rnacentral:rRNA from 1 species
AUGACUAGGGAUAACCUUAGGAAGAGACACAUCAUCAAACCCCUUGAUUGUGUUUACUGCUUGGAACAAGAGUCUUGUUCUCACCUACUUUUUUGAAUGUAUAGUUGCUAAACAUCUCUGGCCCACAUUGAGGAAUAUUUCUCUAGUCAAAUUGGCUCAUCCUUCUAAUCUGUCGCCAGAUUCUGGAUUGCUACCAAAAAGUGCUCAAUUUUAAACACUGUUAGCUCAGCUGUCCUUUGGUGCCUCUGGAAAUAUAGAAAUGCUAUGAUUUUCAGUAACACCUCCUAGAAUUCCAUUCCGCAGGUCUUGAGGUUGAUCAGGAACAUGGUGAGGAACUGGGCGAUUCUCUCCUCCGGAUCGGACAAGGACAAGUUGAUGAGAUUCGUGGAAACCCUAACAAGAUCCCUCCAGAAACCGUUGGCGAUCACUUGUGGCUGA